rnacentral:lncRNA from 1 species
GGGACAUUGGCAUUGGAUUCGGGUAAGUGUAACUCCCUUCAGCGGUGGAGGGGGGGGCACUUAACCUGGCACUAGAGAAUCCCCUUAAUUAAAUUUCCCUACAGCUGCAUGGCAGCACUUGUCAUGUAGUACCCAACAGCUAGAAUGUAUGAUAUAUGCCAAGGAAAACAUGGUGGAUCUGAGAAAGCUAGCUAUAAACUAGGAGAGGUUGUUUAUUCAUUGAACUUAGAAUUAUUGCAAUUUAACAAACUAAUGGAAAAAAACUUGUGAGCUGAAAAAAUAAAUCAAAAAGUGGCCUGAAGUACUUUAUGUAUCUGGAGCCUUUCAUAUUUGUGCGAUAUAAUUUGGCAUUUUAUAACUGGGGGCAAAAAGGCUGUUGCUAUUCUACAGCUCACUGAGAAGGUAAUAUAUGAUUGAUCAAUGAGAAGUCUGGUGAAUUCUGCACAUAAUGAAUGCAAGAAAGGGGAGCUUACAAAGGCUGCGGCAGCAGGUCUGCAGCAUUUGCAAACUGUUUUAUAUAUGUACAUACAUACAUCCUUGAAAACACAGAAAAAAUACAUGUUUUCUUUGGGAUAUAUCUAAAAUUGCUUUUAAAAAUAUAAAUGGAUGGAGUGUUCCUUCAAAGUUUACAAUUCAGAAUUUAUUGACUAUCCCUUAUCAUUUUAUAAUGAAAUACUUAUAAAGAAGCUAAAUGAAUGCAUCAAACAUGUGCUAGGCAUCUCUUUUCCUAGAUUUUGUAAAUAAUGGGAAGAAAGCAAUGGUAGAUUAAAAUGAACAUGGAAUAUAAUGUCCAGUGGUCAGGCCUAAGAAAAUUAUAGGUUCCUGGUUAAUUGAUUUCAUUUAGUUAAAUAUAUUUGUCAUUGGUAAGAACAACAUUUCCUAUUAUCCUCCCCUCCUACUUGAGUCCCAGUAUCCAAUCUACACUUAUGUAUAGAAUAUCACAUAGUAACCAGAUAUCAGCUCAGUAUAUUCUGCAUACUUGACCAAAGAUGAGUCCGCGCAUUUAGUGGUGCAAGUAAUAUAAAAAGAAUACCCACGGACAAUUUUAAUUAAUUAUAAUUUGAGGGACCAGCCUGACAACCCAUGCAGCAAGUCAAGAGAAUUUAAUUUGCAAGUCAUAUGUUUAUCCCUGUAACUUUCCAAAACACCAUAAAAUCUGGGCAUGGGGGUAUUAUUGUACUUGGGAGACUUCGCUGAUCACAAAUAUGUGUGUUAAAACAGUAAAACUUAUCACAACGAUAAUGUCACCAGUAAAAGUGCAGUUUUGUCUAAAAACUGCAAAAAACAAAUAUGAACGCUAAGUUUGGCUAGUGUUUGUGACUAAGUGGCUACUAAAACACAAAAGACAUACCCCAUUUUGAAUACCUUGGGUUGGCUACUUUUUCAAAUGGUAUACCAUGGUGGGGUUAAUUCACAUUCCUGGGCUACCAUACCGUCUCAAAGGCAUCAUAGCCAAUCUGGCAAAUUUCAAUUUACAAAAACAGAAAUUGGUAAAUCCUAUAUUUGACCCUGAACUUUCCAAAACACCAUAAAACCUGUUCAAGAUGGGUACUGUUGUACUCGUGAGACAUUACUCUACAUAAAUAUGAGUGUUUUAGAGCAGUGAAAUGUAUAAUACCGAUGAUACCAUCAGUGAAAGGGCAGUUUACUUGUGAAACAUACAAAACAUAUAUAAACACUAACUUUGGGCAGGGUUUGUGACUAAGUGACUACUAAAAAAGACUGGACAUACCCCAUUUUGAAUGCCCUGGGUUGUCUUUUAGAAAUGGUAUGCCAAGAUGGGGUUAAUUUCCAUUCCUGGGCUACCGUACAGUCUCAAAGGCAAUGUAGGCCCAGCAAACCAAUCUGACAAAUUUCAAUGAAAAAGGGGAGGCCCUAUAUUUGACGCCUGUAAGUUUCCAAAAACUCAUAAAACCUGUACAUGGGGGGUACUGUGGUACUCAUGAGACAUUGCUAAAUACAAAAUAUUUUUCAAAUUCAGUUAUGUUUCAUAUAUAAAUAUUUGAUAUAAUAAUUUUGAAAUGAAAGCCAUGUUUCUCCUGAACAACAUGAUAUAUAAUAAGAGGUGAAUUAUGGUUGAACAACAUAUAGCGCAAAUUCCAGGUUUUGUUUAUGUUUUGUUUUGAUCACAACUUGUACAAUUGUCUUCGUCCUUAACCCCUUAAGGACUGAGCCAAAUGUACACGUUUUGAUCAAAAUAAAACCAAUCUGGCGAAUUUCAAUGUGAAAAAACUGAAACACAAGCCUUAUAUUUGACGCUGUAACGUUUGAAAACACCAUAAAACCUGUACAUGAGGGUUACUGUUGUACUCGGGAGAUUUCGCUGAACACAAAUAUUUGUGUUUCAAAACAGUAAAAAGUAUCGCAGCAAUAAUAUUGUCUGUGUAAGUGCUGUUUGUGUGUGAAAAAUGCAAAAAAACACCACUUUUACUGGCGAUAUCAUCGUUGUAAUACAUUUUACUGUUUUGAAACACUAAUAUUUGUGUUCAGCGAAGUCUCCCGAGUAGAACAGUACCCCCCAUGUACAGGUUUUAUGGUGUCUUGGAAAGUUAUAGGGUUAAAUAUAGUGCUAGCAAAUUAAAUUCCCUUUACUUUCGGCAUGGGUUGUCAGGCAGGUCCCGCUAAUUGUAAUUAAUUAAGAUACCUAAUUAUGUAAAAUUAUUACAUAAAUAUAUAUGUAGAAUUAAUAUAUGUAUACAUAUAUACGUAUGUGAAUAUAUAUGUAUAUAUAUAUAAUAUAAUUUUUUUUAAAAUAUUUUUAUUUAUAUAUAGGUAUAUAUAUAUAUAUAUAGUGAUAUAUACGUAUAUAUGUAUAUAGAUAUAUAUAUAUAUUAUCUCAUUCUACGUGUAUUUUGAUAUAAAUAUAUAUAUUAAUAUCACAAUACAGUUAGAACGAAAUAACACACAUCUAUAUAUUUUUUAAUUAUUUUUUUUUAAUUAUUUUUAAAUUUUAUUUUUCUACGUAUUUACAUAUUUAAUUUUUUUAUAUUCUAAAUAAAUAUAUAUAUAACAAUAAUUAUAUAUAUAAUCAAUAUCAGUCUACGUGUAAUUUGAUAUUAAUAUAUAUAUAUAUAAUUAUAUAUAUAUAUUAAUAGUAAAAUACACCUAGACAGUGUAUGUGUGUGUAUGUAUAUGUGUAUAUAUAUAUAUAUAUACUUAGAUCAUAUAUAUAUAUAUGAUCUAAGUGUAUAUAUUUUUUUUUACUUUUAUUAAUUUUAUUUAAUUUUAUUUCUAGCCAGCAGGGGGACCACCUGUCAUUACAGGCAGCCCCCCUGCUGGCAAUGCAGGAGGCAGCUAUCCCGGCCAUGUGAUUGUGAGGUCCUCGCAAGGACCUAACUCUCACAUGGCCGGGGGGCACCGGAGGAGGAGGAUCUGCCGCGGGGGGGCUCCCUGGGAGUCCCCCCAACUGCGACCGCCGGCGACCGGGUAAGUAAGGAAAGACCGGAGGGCGUACUAUUACGCCCGGCGGCGUUUAGAGCCGCCUAAAAUAGGGCGUAAUAGUACGCCCUCCGGUCUUAAGGGGUUAAUCUCAGUUAAAGUGCAGAAAAUGAUUUUGUUUCUCAAAUAUUUCUCACAUUACCUAGAUAAUUUGCACAUUACCUACUAGGCACUAGUUAAUGUGCAAAAAUAUAAUUCUGUCCUCCAUCUCUCUGAAGAGCUCACAGCUCUGGAGGACACCAUGGUGUGUACAGGCUGCUGUUCUGUUCUUGUCUGGAACACAUAGUCACAUACCUCUUCAAACAGUUAUCCCGAACUGGUAAGAAAUAAGGAGCCCCCACCACCACAAGAGAGCAGGCGCUUCCUGCACAUUAUGGAGCAACACCCUGAAAUGACCCCAGCAGAUGCUCUCCACUGUUCUCAAUAUCAUCAUAUAUUUGAAGACUGUCAGAAUCAGUGGUCCAUGAGCAGACCUCUCCUUGGUCUCAUUCUCCACAAUGAGAGAAGUGUUUCUCGGACUUACGGAGCAACAUUGUUAGUAGCCAGUUCCCUCUGAGAAGCAACAAGCCAUGCGUCUAUGCUUUGAGAAUUUGAUGGUGGAGGGCAUUGAAAGGAACUUGCUUACAAAAAGAAUCGAUACAGGUUCACACAGAAUCUUUCUGCCUUCAGACGAGAAGUGAACAACUCUGCAGAGACUGCACUGAAAGGGUGAAACAGGUUCUGCAAGGACGUUUUUUGUAAUAAAUAAUUUCCUCUUUACCGAGGGAAAGAAACAAACUUUUGCACUGAAAGGGUGAAACAGGUUCUGCAAGGACGUUUUUUGUAAUAAAUAAUUCCUCUUUUACAGAGGGAAAGAAACAAACAUUUUGCACUUUAACUAUACGGAAGCAGUUAAUGUGCACAUUACCUAGGUAAAGUGCGGAAAACUCUUGAUUCCGCACUUUAACAGAGCAAAUCAGUUAAUCUGCAGAUUAACUAGGUGAUGUGCACAUUAACUGAAUUCUCACUUUAACUAUGACAUAUAUAUAUUAAUAUUAAAAUACACUUAGACAGUGUUUGUAUGUGUCCACCAAACUCCAAACACUCCUUUUACCCAUCUCAAAUGCCCUAACUCUGCAACCUCACUCUACAACUCCACCCUCUCCUCUCAACUUGACAUCAUGGCACCUCCUACAGUUAAACGCAGCAAGCGCCCCCAACUACAACCCUGGCACACCAAGCUGACCUGUUACCUCCAAAAAUGUUCCUGAACGCUGCUGGAGAAAGUCUCACUUUGCAUCUGACUUUGUCCACUAUAAAUUUAUGCUGCGCUCCUACAGCAUGGCUCUUUCCUCUGCAAAAGUAAACUACUUCAACACCCUCAUAAGCACACUGUCCCAUCAACCCAAACACCUGUUUCACACUUUUGAUGCUCUUCUUCACCCUGUGACUCCCGCUCCUUCCACCACCUUGUCCGCCACAAACUUUGCAUCUCAUUUCACUGAGAAGAUCUCUACAAUCAGGAAAGAGAUCUCUAAUCUCUCUCCUACCCCUAUCAAUACAUCACCCAACCCCACUCCCCCUGCCAUCCUAUGCUCAUUUGCACCUGCUACAGCACAAGUGGUUUCUGCUCUGCUCCUGUCCUCCCGCCCCACCACUUGCUCCCUCAAUCCUAUUCCAUCGCAUCUCAUCUGCACUUUGUCUCCCUCUCUUGCUCUUCCUCUUGCUAACAUUUUCAAUCUCUCCCUUUCCUGUGGCACAUUUCCCUCACCCUUCAAACAUGCAACCGUAAUCCCAAUUCUGAAAAAGCCCAACCUUGAUCCCAACUCCCCAUCCAACUACCGUACUAUCUCGCUACUGCCACUUGCCUCCAAGAUCCUCGGGAGAGUUGUGUACGCCAGAUUGACAGACUUUCUCGAAUCCAACUCUCUGCUUGACCCCCUUCAGUCUGGAUUCCGCGCUGGUCACCCAGUCGAAACUGCUGUGACCAAAGUAUCCAACGAUUUAAUUGCUGCUAAAUCUCGCGGCCAAUACUCUAUCCUAACCCUCCUUGAUCUUUCUGCCGCCUUUGACACUGUUGAUCAUCAACAGCUUCUUCACAUUCUCCGUAACUUUGGUCUACGGGAUACUGCUCUCUCCUGGUGCUCCUCCUACCUCUCCCAGCGCUCUUUCAGUGUUCUUUCUCUGGCUCUGCCUCUUCUCCCCAACCCCUCUCUGUCGGCGUCCCCCAAGGUUCUGUCCUGGGCCCCCUACUGUUCUCUAUCUAUACUGCCUCCCUUGGUAAACUCAUCAGCUCCUUUGGCUUCCAAUAUCAUUUAUAUGCAGAUGACACGCAAAUCUACCUGUCCUCCCCUGGUCUCUCUCCGCCCACCUUGACCUGCCUCUCUACUAUUUCCAACUGGAUGGCUGCUCACUUCCUUAAACUCAACCUGUCCAAAACAGAACUUCUAGUUUUUCCUCCCUCAAGUGCUGCUAGUCCUGUGCCUGUCUCCAUCCAAGUCAACGGCGCUACUAAUACCUCUACCUUGCAGGCUCGCUGCCUAGGGGUUCUUUUUGAUUCUGAACUCUCUUUUACUCCCCAUGUCCAAUCGAUAGCCAAAUCCUGUCGCUUCCAACUCAAGAACAUAGCGCGCAUCUGCCUAUAUCUAACACCGGACGCGGCUAAGGUACUGGUUCAUGCUUUUGUUCUCUCUCACCUUGACUACUGCAAUCCCCUUCUCACCGGUCUUACAUGUUCCCAGCCUGCACCGCUGCAAUCUAUAAUGAAUGCGGCUGCGAGGCUUAUUUUCCUGUCCGGUCGUACCUCCCAUGCCUCCACGCUCUGUCAGUCCCUGCAUUGGCUUCCAGUUAGAUAUAGGGCCCAAUUCAAAAUUCUGGCGCUUGCUUACAAAUCCCUACAUAAUGCUGCUCCAACAUACCUAUCUUCCCUCAUACACAAGUAUGUCCCGUCGAGACCCCUGCGCUCAGCCCAAGACCUACGCCUAUCCUCUGCCCGGAUUCCCACCUCUGAUGCUCGCCUUCAAGACUUCUCCUGGGCUGCACCUAUUCUGUGGAACUCCCUUCCAUCCUCAAUCAGACUUGCACCCAGCCUCCACUCCUUUAAAAAAUCUUUGAAAACUCACUUCUUCAUUAAAGCGUAUCAAUUAAACGGUCAGCAGGUUUCUCAUCCCCCAACCCAUGACUCCUUUCCUGCAACUGUCAAAAAUGACCUACCAAGCACUCAAUAAACCCUUUUCUAACAAACUAUGUAAUUGCCCUACUUUAACCCUUUGUGUCACUAUACCCCACUCCCUCUAGCAUGUAAGCUCAUCAAGCAGGGCCCUCAACCCCCACUGUUCCUGUACGUCCAGUGGUCUGAUCUCAAUUAUGUGUCUGUUAGUCCACCCAUUGUACAGUGCUACAGAAUUUGUUGGCGCUAUAUAAAUAAUAGAAUAAUAAUAAUAAUAUAUAUAUAUAUAUACUUAGGUCAUAUACAUAAUAGAUACUUAGAUCAUAUAUAUAUAUAUAUAUAGUCCCCCUGCUGGCACUGAUAUCGACGGUGUGGCACUCUGCCAAGAUAUCAUCGCCACGGAUACCCUUUUCCCAUAAAAAAAAGCAACUCCCACAGGCAAAAUAUCACUGGUGUAGAAUAACCCCCCACACAUGAGCCAAGGCUAUAUCCUGGGUAAAGACUGUCUUUAAUGGAAGUGCAUGCAUCAUAUUUAUACAGUCCAUAAACUCCUCCUCUGUGCCUGAGAGACAAUUGAGUCAGUAAAUAUACUAAACUCAAUUAUCUCCAGAUACAGAAAAAUUAACAAUUUUGCAACACCCCAAAAUACAGGGAAACCCCACAAAAGUCACAUCCCUGGAUCUGGGCGAACAAUAUAUCCAAAAAUCACCCAGAUCCGUUUGGUAGUUUUAGAUUGCCAUUGCAGGGAAGUUCUGACCCGUCUGUCACGAGGAGUAAGCCUAAAAUAGUUACAUGGAAAUGGUGGCAAGAGCCAGUCUCCGUUCGUGGGGUUUUGUACGAAAACCACAUAAGAUAUAGGAAAACUGGUUCGUGCAGAAUGCUCCGCAUGUUCGGUAGUCUGUAACUCCCGAACGCUGUUAGUCUACUGGAACGGGCUAUAGGUCAAUGGUUACCGGUGUUCGCCUGGCCGAAAUUAGUUCCACGCACUCAAUGACCAAGUUCAGCUGCUAGCGUUCGGGAGAGACGAUGGCCACCAUCCAUUCUUUCACCCACGUGCGUUCGUAUGUACAAAAUGGUGGCCACGUAACAGAGCAUUCUAUUAACCCCUUAAAGACGUCAGGCAUUCUAUGCCGUCCUUCGGGAUCUGGCUCUAAACGCCAGCGGCCGGAAUAGAACGCCCAAGCCAUCCUUUCUGCUUACCUGGUCACCGGCAAUCGUGGUAUGGGAACUUACCUGGGAGCCCAGGGAGUCCCCCUCCUUCCUCUUUGGCCCCCCUAGGUCAUGUGAUCGCGAGGACCUCACGAUCACAUGGACGGCAAAGCUGUCCAUGUCAAUGCCAGCAGGGGGAGUGCCUGGAAUGACAGGUACUCCCCCUGCUGCCUGAAAAAUUUAAAAAAAAUGUUAGUUACAGUUGAAAAUAAAAUAUAUACUUAGAUCAUAUAUAUAUUUAUUAUAUAUAUAUCUACAUAUAUAAUUAUAAAUAUAUUAAUAUCAAAAUCGACGUACAAUGAUAUUGAUUAAAUGUAUAUAUAAUUUUCAUUAUAUAUAUAUUUAUAUAUAAUAUAAAAUAAAUACAUAUGUAAAUACGUUAAAUAAAAAAUAAAUAAAUAAUAUAUAUAUGUGUAAAUUCGUUCUAACUGUAUUUUAAAAUUAAUACAUAUAUAUAUGUAUAUAUAUUGAUAUCAAAAUACACGUCGAACGAAAUAUAUAUAUCUAUAUACAUAAGUAUAUACGUAUAUAUCACUAUAUAUAUAUAUAUAUACCUAUAUAUAAAUAAAUAAUUUAAAAAAUGAUAUACAUAUAUAUACACACACAUAUAUAUAUAUAUAUAUAUAUAUAUAUAUAUAUAUAAUUCUACGUAUAUAUUUAUAUAAUAAUUUUACAUAAUUAGGUCAUUUUAUUAAAGCGGCACUGUCAUGGCUGAAUCACGUUUUUUUUUAACCCCCCCCUCCCAACUCCACUACAUCUAACCGACCCCUUAGCAUGGGCGUAGCAACCGAGGGGGACGGGGGGACUCAUCCCCCCCAGCAAAUCAUGCGGGGGGGACCAGUUAUAGAGAAAUCCCCCCCAACCCCGCCGGCCGCGGGUGCCCUCGGGCUGCAUGCGGCUCCAUCAGGGAACCGCACGCACUGCAGACUGGGAAGGGGAGCACCUCUCCCUUCGCGCAGGAGCAUCGGGUGUCACGUGACUACCCAGCGCUCAGUCUGACACUGCGCCCGCCAGACGUCCAGAGGUCCCCCUGCUAUGUCAGGUAAAAGAGGGGACAAAGGUAGAAAAAUAAUUGGAAGGGUUAAGGGGGGGGGCUACUAAUAUGGAUGGGGGGGAGGGGUAGGUAGAAAAAUAAUUGGAAGGGUUUAGGGGGCUACUAAUAUGGAUGGGGAGGAGUAGGUAGAAAAAUAAUUGGAAUGGUUUAGGGGGGCUACUAAUAUGGAUAGGGGAGGGGUAGGUAGAAAAAUAAUUGGAAGGGGGAGAGGGGUAGGUAGAAAAAUAAUUGGAAAGGGUCAGGGGGGCUACUAAUAAGGAUAGGGGGAGAGGGGUAGGUAGAAAAAUAAUUGGAAGGGUUUAGGGGGGCUAUUAAUAUGGAUGGGAGGAGGGGGGAGGUAGAAAAAUAAUUGGAAGGGGUUAGGGGAGUACUAAUAUGAAUGGAAGAGGUAGGGUGGGUUCUGAUAUGCAUGGAAGGAGUUAGGGGGGUACUAAUAUGCAUGGAAGGGGUAGGUGGGGUUCUUAUGUGCAUGGAAGGGGUAGGGGUGGUUCUAAUAUUCAUGGGAGGGAUAGGGGUGGUUCUAAUAUUCAUGGAAGGGGUAGGUGGGGUUCUAAUAUAAAUGGAAGGGGUAGAGACGGGUAGUAAAAUGUAUGGAAUGCACUUCUGAAAGUGUCACUGAAUGACAGUUAGGAAAUGUGGUCACCCUAAGUCAGGGGCAGUAUUACACAAUCUGUAUAUGUAUAAAAAAAUAUAAAAAGUAAUCUGCAAAGUACAAAAUGUUUGUGUCAUAUGUGGUGCUAAAAAUUAAGCUAGGAAUGAGCAUAUUUUUUUAAAAUAAUUUUUAGAAUAAUGAUACAGACAUUUUAUUUCUUACAUUUGUGACGAUUCUUUUUUCCCCUCUAUAUUCAAGGGACACUAUAGUCACCAGAACCACAACAGCUAAACGUAGUAGAUCUGGUGUCUAUAGCAUGUCUUUUUAAUGUAAGCACUGCCAUUUCGUAAAAAAAAAAGGCAGUAUUUACAUUACUGCUGAGGAAUAUCUCCAGUGGACACUCAGAUGGCCACUAGAGGUGCUUCCUAGUCGAGACAUGAAUGCCGCCCUAUGAAGUAUCUGCGCAUGUACGGCAAAACUGCGCAUGCGCACCAGGGAGCAAUGACGCUUCUGAAUAGAAGCUUUUUAUUGCUCCCUGCUCGCACCCUCCUAUUUCGUCAUUUUGACGAAAUAGGGGGCGCGGCAUCAGGAGGAUCCCGGCACUGUAUCCAGGUAAGUAAAACCCCUUCCCUGUAGUGACCCUUUCAUGUUAUUAUUUUAUCAUUUAUAUAGCGCCAGCAAAUUCCGUACAAUGGGAUAAACAACUCCUAGUUUACGGAAUAAGAAUAUACCCGGCGAGUAAAAAUGCUAUCCCCCCCAGAUUUUUGGGGGUUCCUAUGCCCAUGCCCCUAAGUCACCCCUAAAUGCCCCAAGCCCCCCAUAUUACCUAUUUUUAAUCUUUAUUUUCUGCCCCGAUCUAUAUUCAAGGUGCCGACAUUUUUGUGUGGGUAGAUGAAAUCCCUGUGGGACACGUCAUUUGCCCACACUAGACAGACUGUGAGAUUCCCGCACAUGCCCAGAAACACUUGGACAGGAAUUUCAUCCAUUCAUUCGUCAGAAAGAUGAAUGAAUGACUAGGAAUUUGAGACGAACAAACUAACACUGAAUAUCAGUGUUUGUUCGUUCAUUUAGUUUAUUACAAGGAGGGAGCUACCGGCACGCAGCUCCCUCCUUGUAAUAUGUAAAGAUAGAAGCGGCAGGAAGCAUUGCUCCCCGCCACUUCCAAAGCUCCCCCAUGUCCUCCCUCACUCUAUGGAAGUCAAUAUGACUCCCAUAAUAGCAUAAGGGAGAUUAAAAUCUCACCGAUGCCCCAUCUCACUAUACUGUGAGUAGGGGCAUAUCUACUAAACAGUGAGCUGCUCACUGUUAAAAAAACAAACACCCUAAUAGGCCCCCCUGCGUGGUGGGUGGGAGCCCUAAAUAAGAAUGUGGGGGGGGGGCUACUGUCCUCCCCUCUCAGCCCCCACCCCUGCGAGGUGGGUGGGGGCCAUAAAUCAUAAUGGGGUGGGAGGGACCUUCUGUCCUCCCCCACCCCUGCACGGUGAGUGGGGGCCAUAAAGAACAAUGAGUGGGGACCUACUGUCCUUUAUGGCCACCACCCACCGUGAGCGGUGGUUGGGGGCCGUAAAGGAUAAUGGAGGGGUGACCUACUGUCCUCCCCCCCAGCCACCAUCCCUGCGCGGUGGGUGGGGGCCAUAAAUCACAUUGGGGUGGGGGAGACCUACUGUCCUCCCCUCCCGGCCCCACCCCUGCACGGUGGGUGGGGGCCAGAAAUCACAAUGGGGUGGGGGAGACCUACUGGCCCCCAUGCCUGCACGGUGGGUGGGGGCCAGAAAUCACAAUGGGGGGGAACCUACUGCCCUACUGUCCUGAACGGUGGGUGGGGGCCAUAGAGGAUAAUGGGGAGAGACCUACUGUCCUCCCCACCGGUUCCCACCCCGGAGCGGCGGGUGGGGGCCCUAAAUGACAAAUUCCCCAUCCCCCCUUCAAAGGUGACUAGGGGUCCCCAAGCCCCUAGUCACCCACUCCCCCACACAAAUAAAAACUACCCCCUACCUACCUCCCUCACCCUAUAAAUAGUGAGGGGGGAAUAAAAUAACUAACCUGUAAAGAAAAAUAACACUUACCAUUUGAUGUCUUCUUUCUUCUAAAAUCUUCAAAAAAAACCCAUAAUACCCGUCGAACUUAAAAUAAAUUAAAAAAAAAACGACGGGAAACAAAAAACCAGACACUAAAAAAAUUAAUCCAUCUUCACCCAUAGAGGGCUCUGCGCAGACUGAGCUCUACAGGGCGGGGGAAGGCUUAUAAAGCCUUGCCCUGCCUUGCAAUUAGGCUAAGAACACUCUGAUUGGUUGGUUUAAGCCAAUCAGAGUGCUCUGUGUCAUUUUACACAGCGUGGGAAAGUUCUUUGGAAUUUUCCCAUGCUGUGUAAUUUGAGUCAUAACAUUCUGAUUGGUGGACUUGAAAUCCAUCCAAUCAGAGUGCUCUGUGUCAUUUUACACAGUGUGGGAAAGUGAGAGCAUUUGUUGCCACUUACCCUGUUCUUAAAUAAAAAAUAAUGGUUGGUGUGACGGAAUACCCCAUCACUUGUGAUUAUUUACGCGUUCAUUUCUCUUUAACCCCUGUUCGUUUCUCGAGCAGAGAUUUACAUCCCCCUUUUAUAUUCCUGAGACCCAGACCACCCACUGGCUUAUUAACCUCAAAGAAUGUGUUUAACUCGAGUGCUCUCCCUGUGAGGUCGCCAUUUGUAUAACUGAACAUGUGCUCUUUGGAAUGGCAGCCAUCUUGUCUGCUGAACGCAGGCACCGGUACUUUGUCGUUGACGGCAUAGAGCUAAAUUCGGACUCUGAACCAUCACAAAUCCCAGUGAACUUAUACUGCCGCCUGCUCCUCCUACAGACAAGCCAGGAGAGUGCUCUUUGGGGAAAAGACUCAGUGAACUACAAGGAACAUUCGCUCCCCAAGAGCCAGGGGGAACAUUUGGUUGUUUUCAUGAAGGAACCCCCAGAAGUUGACUUUACCCUGGUGGCGAUUUAGCUACACCGAACUGAUCUGAGCGCUAUUUGGACAACUUGGGCGCUCAGAUCCGACCUAUCCGGGGAUGUAGGACAUUUAGGAUUCCUAGGUAGAAUUAAUGGGGUUUUGGGGUGUUUUGUGUAAAAUUUUAUGUAUCCCUAUAACUGGAAGAUUUUGAAUUACCAGACUUUUGACUCAAUUAUCUCCCAGACACAGGGAUGUCUGGGAGGAGUUUAUGCUGUUUUGUAUGGAGACUCCAUGCUGGGGGUCUGUGUAUAAAUUCUAAGUGCUUUGACCGAAUAAAUCAGAUCUACUCCCAACAUUAGGUCUCGGCUAAUAUAUGGGGGGAAAGCUAUACCAGCUAUAAUCACUAUUGCGGUUGGAUAGAGCUAUUUCACAUUGGGAAAGGGAACCCAUGGCGGCAAUACUCUGGUUGUCCGCCACAGCUGAUUUUGGUCCUUAGUACUUAUGGAUCACAAGCCCUGCUUUAUGUGGUGGACUGCCCUAGUAUCACCGCCAUGGAUGCCCUUUUCCCAAUAAAAUAAACACCAAUAAUCCAUGGAGUGUAAUGUCUCCGGUGUCGCAUAACCCCCCACACAUGAGGCAAGGCUUGAUGCUGGGAGAAGACUGGUUUAUUCAGGGAAUCACAUGGCCUUUUAUGCAAAAGCCCCAAUAUGGGCUUUCUUACACAGAAAUGCAGGGAAAUCCCUCCCAGGAACCUCUGUGCCUAAGAGAUAAUUAUCUCUCAGGGACAGAAAAUCAUAACAGUUUUUAACUGCUCCAAACGUACCCCUAAAAACAUGGAAACCCCACAAAAGUCACAUUCACGGAUAGCUGAGAUAUGGGCGAACACUAUAUCCAAAAAUCACCCAGAUCUGUUCAGUAGUUUUGGAUAAGUUAGAUGAAAGCGGAUCAGUGUAGAAUGCUCCCCGUGUUCAGUAGUUGAUACCGCCGAACGCCAUUCGUGUAGGUGUAGUGGAACUGGAAUGGGCAGCAGGUGUUCGUGGGAGUGCCUGGCCAAAAUUAGUUCCAGGCACUCGACGACCAAGUACUGCUGCUUGCGUUCAGGAGACAAGAUGGAGCAUUCUAUUAAUUAGUUCCAUUGCGGUUUUCGUACAAGAUACUCAACGUUCCAUGUUCUAAUGGGUCUCUGGGGUGGUCUUUGUUCGGGAACCAAACCAAAUAAACAAAUAAAGUUAAACAUGAAUCCGUUACCGCGAAAGGAGACAAAAGUGAUGGGGUUAUUCCUUCACACUUUAGUUUAAAAAGCUAUGUUUAACCCCUUAAGGACACAUGACAUGUGUGACAUGUCAUGAUUCCCUUUUAUUCCAGAAGUUUGGUCCUUAAGGGGUUAAACCAGUUCUCUAGUGUUAAAGAUGAUUGCAGAAAUGAAAUGCUGUGCCCAAGAUGGACGCUAACUGAUGUCUGACUAGUGAUAUGUAGGUGAUAUACAACACUAUAUAUAUAUAUAUAUAUAUAUAUAUAUAGUUAAUGAAGCAGCUUUCAGCAGGUUCUGAUUUUGUCGGUAUUCCUAGUCAAGAAGACAGAGAAGUAUGUAAGCUAGUGUCCUCAUUUGUCCUAGUCUAUUUGCAUGUAUAUGUGUUCCCCAGACAUGUGGAUGACAAGGGACACUCAAAAAGGAAGUCUCACUUCUCUAGAAUUUACACUAGGGGUAGGCAACAUUUUAGCAGCACUGUGCCGAUAUAGGAUUGUGAUGUCCUGUAGCGUGCCGAUCCUCAGGCCUGUCACCACCAGGCAAGCUAACCAAGCAAUUGCUUGGGGCCCCGAGCUGGCCUGGGCCCCCAAGCAGGGCCGGCGCUUCCUAUAAGGCUGCAGCCGCCUGGGCCCCCAAGCAGGGCCGGCGCUUCCUAUAAGGCUGCAGCCGCCUGAGCCCUCUAUAGAGAGCCUCAGGCGGCUGCAGCACUGCCUCUCUCAUCACCUCCCCUUCCCUGUAGCGAGCUCUUCUUCCUCCUGUCAGUCCAGGAGAUUCAGUUUGAGCUCGGCCACGCUACAAGGAAGGGGAGGUGAGAAGAACAUAGGGAGGGGGGAGUAAAAGAACAUAGGUGGGGGAGCAAGAAGGAUACUGGGGGAGGGGAGUAAUAAGGACACGGGGAGGGGAGUAAAAAGGACACGGGGAGGGGAGUAAGAAGGACACAGGGGGAGGGGAUUAAGAAGGACACAGAGAGGGUGGGAGGGGAGUAAGAAGAACAUGGGGAGGGGGAGAGUAGUAAGAAGAACAUGGGGGGAGUAGUAAGAAGAACAUAGGGAGGGGGAGGAGUAAGAAGAACAUGGGGGCAGUAAGAAGAACAUAGGAGAGGGGAGGAGUAAGAAGAACACAGGGAGGGGGGAGGAUUAAGAAGAACACAGGGAGAGGGGGGCUGAGGAGAUGAGGAGAACACAGGGAGGGGGGAGGUGAGGAGAAGGGGAGAUUAGGAGAAUACAAGGAGGGGGGAGGUGAGGAGAAUGGGAGAUUAGGAGAACACAGGGAGGGGGAGGUGAGGAAAAGGGGAUAUUAGGAAAAAACAGGGAGGGGUGAGGUGAGGAGAAGGGGAGAUUAAGAGAACACAGAGGGGGUGAGGAGAAGAGGAGAUUAGGAGAACACGGGGGGGUGAGGAGAAAGGGAAAUGAGGAGAACACAGGGAGGGGGGUGAGGUGAAGGGGAGAUGAGGAGAACACAGGGAGGGGGGUGAGGUGAAGGGGAGAUGAGGAAAACACAGGGAAUUUUCAAUUGUUGAAAAUGUUCAAAUUUUAUGCACAUUAUAUGCAACAGCAGUAUUUGCACUGUAAACAUUUUUUAUUUAUGCACAGUAUAUGCAACAGCAGUAUUUGCACUGUAAACCUGUUUUAUUUAUAUGAAGUGUGGGUGAACUUAAACUGUAUGGCUAUGCUGUGGUUCCUGUAGGCUUUGCGUGUGUGUGUGGGGGGGGGAGGGGGGGGGCACCUUCAUGUCCAUUUUGCUUGGGGCCCCCAAAUUCCUUCAAACGGUCCUGCCGAUCCUAUGUUUUUAAAUUGAGGUGUGUGUGCUGCCGUAUUCUGCUUGUGUUAUUUAUACUGUAAUUGCUUUGUAUCGUUGUAUUUGUGCGUAUAUGAGCUAUUAUAUGUAUAUGUUCAUUAGUAGUUUAUGGUAUCGUGUAUGAUACAUAUGAAUGUGGGCUAUGUAUGAGGGCUGCUUGUGGAAUUGUGUGUGGGUGGAUAUGUCACAUUGUGUGUUUGGUAGUGUAUGGGGGCUGUUUGGGGUUUUGCAUGUGAGAGGCUGCAUGUGGGAUUGUGUGCAUGUAUGUAGAUUGUUAGUGGUGUUGCAUUUGUGGGGAUUGUGUGUAUGUUUGUGUGUGGGCUGUUCGUAUUAUUUGUAUGAGGGGAGGCUUAUUCUGCAGGUCUGUGUAUAUCUAGCAGUGUGAGUGGCUUCCCUGGGUUCCAGUGGGGACCAGGCUGGCCAGGUACAGGUCAAGGACAGGAGCUGCAACAUCAGCUGUGGGCUGCUCUACUACAGUGUGGAUUCCCAUUCACAAGUGCUGGGAGGAAUUGAUCUGAGAUCACUUCCUCUAAGUGCUGCAAUGCAUAAAUUGAGGAUUGUCCUUCACUACCUCUUUCUAUUAGCAGAUAUCUGAAGUUUCACUGAGACUCCUGAUAGGGCAGACCCUGUUUGGCUCUAGCAGCCUUGAGUGCCGUGGAAAGACACCUCAAGUGCCGUGCAUGGCACUAGUGCCGUAGGUUGCCUACCCCUGAUUUACACCAUUGCAUACCUCCCAAGUGUUUCUAUUUAGGGGAGACAAACCCUAUUUUGUGCCCAAAUCACUAUGUCCAUCUUUUCUAGGCAUUCUAUAUUGUUGGUGUUUGAGUGUAUACCAGAGCUUCACUGCAAUAAUAAUAAGUCAGUAAUGUGUCUUUAAGCUACAAUAAAUGUGUUUAUAAAUCUGUGUAUUUAAGAUGCAUUGUUCCUGUUUCAUAUGGCAUGAUAAUUCCAUAAAUUGUGAUUAGAACCUAACCUUAACUUGUCCAGGCCUGUCCAUGACCAUAUACUAAACACACCGCUAAAAUUGAAGUGUCAAUAUUUUGCAUUUGAAAUGUUGAGUGGUAUGCCAUGGUAUUAAUUGAAAAUGAUCUAGUCUUUAACUUGUGUUAAUGUUUUGUUUUCACUAGAUACUAUGUUUUCUUUUAAAUGUAUAUUAAUGAUUUAGCAUUCAAAUUAUGAGGAGUAAUAGAAACACUGUUUCAUUUCUUCUCUUUAUAUGAUUUCUCUAUGAUGCCUGCCUGGUGCAAAGAGUGUAUAAAAAUGAUUGCUGGUUAAAGAGGUACAGAUUUCUACUUGUAAUUAUAUUUUGUUCUCUAUUGAAAUAUAUUUCUAUUUUCCUGAUAAUUCGCACUGUGGUGAAUAAUCCUGUUAGUGUUUAGUUACUUCUCUCAUUCACUUCUUUAGAAACUCCCUGGCCAUCCCACCCCACCAUCAAAUAAAACAAGAGCAGUUAUUUUUUUAAUUGCAGUCACGUUUAUUUGCAGCUUCUAUACACACUUUCUAUGUAAUCAAACUUUUCUGACACAUUUUUGAGGGGUUCACAAAAGAAAUUGUCACCAUUUUUACUAAAAAAUAAAUACAAGACUUAAAGUGUUGCACAGCUCUAAAAUAUACAAAGGCUUAGAUUUAAUGUAAACUCUGAAAACAUUUUACAAAAGAAACCAUCUUUGCAACAAUUUAAAAAGUUCAUAUUUACAGAUAUUACAAAAAUACAAAUGGAUGCAAGUCCACUAACCAUAGUCGUUUCCUCCCACGAGUGCCAUACUUACAUUAAAAGAGUAACACUGUAAUCUCUUUUCUGUAUGUUAUAUCACAUCAACCUUUCUAAGAUAAGUUGUAAAUUGUGAUUCAACCCUUCAGUGGCUAUUGGACUAGCAAUGCAUUGGGGUCUAUGCACUAAGCUUCAAGUUAUGGUGACUCUAGAAUACUUGCAAAUUUAAAGCCAAAUUAGCAGAGUUGGCAGUAAUAUUCAACUAAGCUAGUUUAGCAUACAUUUCUCAAGAUGUGUUUAAAGUCACUAGAACUUGCUGUUUAGUUAAUAACUCUCAGUGUAACAGAAUGCACUUGAUUGCUUAACUAGUGGGUAUUAAGACAACUUGCUUCCAGCAUCUGGCAUGAAAUCGGUCACUAAUGCAGCAAUUUAUACCGCAAACCUAAUGAUUUGGCAAGUACUUUUCUGUUCACUAUUCCUUCUCAUCAUAAACCUGCUUAAACAUAAAGUCAAAUAGAAAUGUUAGAAGGAAAGGAAAAAACAGUUAUGUUGUUAAAAAAAAAUUAUUUAAAAAUCUGUUUCAUCAGUGCAAACAGAACGUUAAUUUCAAAGGAUGGUGAACAAGCUUGAAAUAGGCAGUCACUGGGAAUCACAAGCAUGGGUCCAGAGCUCUUUUAUACGUUGUCUACUUUGGGAAUAUCUCAAGACUUGACUGCCGUGACAGAUUUGCUCCAGUUAAGAUCCAAAACACUUAAAUAUGUUUUUCAAAGGAACACUCCACAGCCCAAAUACAAAAUAAAUUAAAAAUUACUGUUUAGUAUAUACACCCAAAAUGAAAACAAGCAUGCAUUUAAUUAUAAUUUUUUUCCCUUGGGGGUAUAUCUAAAAAAACAGCUUGAAAAAGGUGCAGAUCUCUUGUAUUCAGCAUUUGCAAGCCCUCCUCUUUUUUCUAAUCACAGACUUCCCAAUGCAGCUCAAUGAGACGUCUUUGCAAGUCAGGUGCUCUGAGCAAUUGCUGCCUCAUGAGUUUAGCUCCACUGAGCUAACCAAACCAAGAGGUAACAGCACCUGAUGUCAAGGGGGUGUAAUCAGAUUAAUUUAUAAAAGUGUCAACUUCUAUUGAAAUCAGAAUUGUUUUUUUUUUAAAUCACACAUAGAGCUUUCCAGCAAGCUAAAGUGCUUUAGGGGUCUGGAGUGUCCCUUUAAUUGUUGAACUUUUCCUAGUUUUGUGUUAAAGGAACACUCCAAGCACCAUAACUAUUACAGCUUGCUGUUGUGUUUAUGGUGCCAGGAGUGACACAGAGACAUCCUACGGUAAUUUGUCAAACUGUUUUAGUAUACUUGGGUCCCCAUGACGCCCAUGCUGCAUCCCCUCUUCUCCUGCAGGAGAAGCAGGAUGUCUCAUGACAGCUAAGCAUGGCCAAUGCAGGCCUGUGCUCAUUGGCUGAGAGUGCUUAGCUCAUACUUAAUGCAGUACUGCAUGGUCCUGUUUAGCUCAGUAGAGGAGAAUCCUAAAAGCAGUUAAACAAAUUAAACUGGGUUAGCAACAGGACACUGCUGAUACCAUAACCACUACAAUUGGUUGUUUUACUUGGAGUGUUGUUUAAAGCAUUGUUAAAAGAGAUUUGCUGAGAAUAAAGACAUUAAAAUAAUGUCCAUAUUUUUGUUUAUAUUUUCAAACAGAAUUCCUACAAAGAAUUUCUUAAAAACGAUGCUGCUAUCAUUACCUAUAUGGCUAGAGGAUUUGCGGUUUGUACUUGAAGUCUAAGCAAAAGGAACUGAAAUAUGUUUCUCUUUAACUGGGUAUGUUCUAACCUGCAAUGUUAUUGUUUGCCUUGUUUAUGAAGUUUAUUCACUAAACUGGAAAUUGUGAACAUUUUUAUGGGAUUAAACAUUUUAGACAGAAUUUGCAAAAAUCUUCAUGUCAGCUUUUUUUCUAGAAAUCUUUCAAUUCACCAGUUAAUUGUCUACAAUUCCUAGUUUAGUGAAUAAACUCUGUAUAUUUUCAAAUAUACAUUUGUCGAUUUUCAUGAAUGCAUGUACCCCAUGAAGGAAUAUUUUCAUAAGCACACUCAAGACACAAUGUUAUUAAGCACCUUGCACCUCUCCGUGUCUUGGUCUCUGCUAGGAAAAAAAAUGUACAUCUUAUGGUAUAUUAUGGAAGCGUACUUAAAGCUGCCCAGUGCAUUACGGCAUAAGUUUUCAAUACAUAUGUACUUGGCAUAUUUGAAAAGCAAUAAAUAAAUACCAUAUGUCAAUAUAAUUAUGUUAAGUCGAACAUUUUUUCUGUAUGAUUAUUGACCCCACCUCUCAAAAAAGUACCACUAUAGGAUGAUGUCUUCUCUGGUUUCAUUAUGUUACUAGCUUUAUUUCUGCUACUUAGGUAAAUAAAUUGAAUUUAGCACUACCACAGUUAGUUAUAUUCACAGUAAAGGGCUGUUAAGAUAGAGCUUGAAAACUCUCUCAUAUUUUGAACUUGAUUCUUGAAACAGAACAGUCAAAAACAAACAUUUAUAUGGCACUUGCAUGGAACAGAAAGUUUAAUUGUGCUACUUAAGGCUGUGCUUAAACAUAAAAUUCAUUAUAAAAGUGUUGACAGCAAAUUGCAUUAACAAUUAAUAGUCAAAAUACUAUUAGAACUCUUGAAAAUGACCAGUGUUUUAGUUAGAUUUCGAAAUCAUGGAGAUUAGCAUCAGAAUUUAUAAGGUUAUCACUUGUCCUUGAUUUAUGUGUGAUGUGAGAUGCCCUGCAUAAUAUUCAGAAGGGUAAAAGCACAAAGUGAUACCGCAAGUAAUGAUUACCUUGAUUUGCCACAUUAUCCUUUAGCACCAGUUUUGUACCUGUCAAAAUAAUGGUGUCAGUGAUUUUUAUAAUGUACAAAAUAUGUAUUAUAAGGCCUGUUAAACAGAAUAGUUUAGGUAUCAUAACAUUUGAGGAAGGCUAGCACCUUUCAGUAUGAGACACAUACCCAACCAGUUGGUCCACACACACACACAUACAUAUAUAUGUAUAUCAAAAGCAGUCCUGUGCAACACUCGUGCAAAUGGACUACUGAGUGUGCAUAAAGAUGAUGCACACAUAGGAUCUAACCAAGUGCUUACUAAUGACAAGUUGCACCAUAUUUCAGAUGACAAUUGUGGCCAUUUGAGGAACUGAAAGAUGUAAAAACUAAAAACAAAACGUUUGUGUUGUUUUAAAUUCUAUAAAUCAAACCUGGGGGUAACAACUGUUAAGUAGUUAAGUGUGUGUAGUAACAUUAUCAAAGGUAGUGAGGCAGAGAAGUAAUUAACAUCACGCAAAAUAUUGCAUAUUUAAUACUUAUAUGAGCUGAUUUUCUAAAGCAGAAAAUAACAUUUCAGUUAAAUUGCAGGCUGGGUAACUACUGUUUCAUCUGGUUAUCACUUUAAAAAUAUUAGUAUGGAUUAAAGGGACUCUCCAGGCACUAGAUCAUUAGUGGUGUUUUGUUGUUUUUGCACGCUCAAUCUUGUAUACAUUUUGCAAACACUACAAUAAAUGUUUGAAAGCACACUACAAUUUAACCCUGCCUCGUUUAUGCUCAGUCUCAACUUUCCCAUUCUAAAAUAAUUCCUUCUUGCUUGUUACUAUAAACAAUCUGUUGCCUUGAAAGAACUCUAGUGGCAGUCACCCAGAAAGCCACUAUGGGAGCUACCUGUCUCAGUGCAGUACUGUGUGAGUAAAAUCACAGAGAACUAGGGCAGACACCUAAACAGCCAUCCCAGCACUAUAAUAUAUACAGGUUUGUAUUACUAACACUAUAGUGUUCCUUUAAAUGAGUAGCAUUGUUUUCCACAUAAAAAGCAUGCAGUAACUUGUUCUCUCAUAUGAACAGUUUUUGAGGGAUGGAGCAUUUAUAAAGAUGUAUAUUAUUUAUAUUCUACCUGUUUCAAAAGGGCAUUCUUUGUUUCAUCCCAGCAUAACCAACAGUAAUGCUUGCAAAUUACAGCCUAAACUAAUCUUCAGUGCACAGUAAUAGGACUGAAGCAGUCUUGAGCUUACAGACACACGUAUUUGCAUAUUUCAACUACUGCUCCUAUCAACACUGAAAGCAUCUGUCUAAAAUAAUAUAUUUCGUUUUAAGAUUUGCUAUCCUUUUAUAAUUAUUCAUUAUACUGUACACAUGAGUAUCAAAGCAUUUUGUUACUCUCAUCUUUAAUCUCGCAAAAAUAUAAUAUGUAAUUAGCACGUUAAAGAAAUGAUAUCAUUAAAUAUCUAUUAUACGGCCUCAAUCCUGUUUUGCAUUAAACAGUGCCUGACACUGAACGCUAACCUAAAUGUCUUACGGACUUGGAUUAAAAACCCAUAACUAUUGCAAGGGCAAUACAUUUUAUUUAGCAUUUAUAUAUCUGGGUGAGGAAAGUAAUUGUAACUAAGGACCCUGAAUUAUAAAAACCAGAAACACAAAAUAUUUUAAGCUAAUCUGAAAUCUGAUAUAGAUAAAAGAUUUCAUAGGCUGAGUUCAGGUCCCAAAAUGCAGUCCUGAACAACAAACAGGUACAAUAUCAGUAUCUCUAUCGAUCACUCAAUUAGUCAAGCUGUAAUAUUAGUUAGUUAGACAAAGUACUCUAAAUGGUCAACAAAACAGAUAUUUAAGUAGUAUUAAUACAAUUUAAAGAAGAUGUAAUAACUUUCUUUUCAUUGUCUAAGAAACCCAUUAAGAAAGUUAAUAUAUUCUGAUAAUUAAUUCUGACUGGACAUAAUGACAGCUGUCCAAAUUUUCUAUUUAUGCUCAGGAAAGAUAGAAAGAUUUUAUUGGUUGUGUGCUGAGAAAAUUACCAACAUUUUGCAGGUACAUGGGAAAAUAUUGAACAAUUAAGCACUGCACAUAUUCAUGUAAAUUAAUUGGAAAUUCAUGAUCUUUUGGUUAGGUGAUGUCUAUUAUAUGAUGCCAUAAAAUAAGUUUUACUUUUAGCAAUAAAAUAAAACUAUUCAUAUGUUUAUACUUCUAAUUUCUUAAAUAUAUAUUUAUAUGUUCUUGACAUGAUCUUUUUUGUACAUUUCCCCCCCAAAAAAUUAUAAAAUAUGUUUAGGUGAUCAAGCUCUGUAAAAUCAAUGAAUGGCAAUGGAUUUAAGUACAUUAAACAAAUAUUAUCUUGGCCAUUUUAUACCAGUUAAGGUAAUGGUUGUCAAAUUAAUCUUAAAAGAGAAUCACACAAUGAUAUUUAUCAAGCUGUAGAUGAGUCAAAAAUCUCAAGUAUUUCAGUUGACUCAUGUUGAGAAGAAUAAUAGCUAUUAGAUUGUGACCUUGUUAACACUCUUUUUUUUUUUUUUUACUUUUAAAUUGAUCAGCAAAAUAUCUAACAGUUGAACAGAUGAUUAGAUACUUGUAUUGAUACAUGUAAAUGUGGUUAGACCCAGUCAUACGUGUGUUCUAUCAUUAUAGAAAAGGCAGCUACAUCAAUUAAUAUUCUUCUUUUAAAUGUAGUAAUUUCAAUAACAACAAAUACAAGACUUUUAAUAACAUAAUUAUGGACUGUUAAUAGCUUAUAGUGAAGGUCUGAUAAUGUCUUUAUAUGUAGUUGAGUCUAGAGGAAUGCAUGGCUGUGGCUGGGACUACUAUGAAUGGCUGAUUUGAAAAUAAUUAUUUACUAUGCGUGCAUUUCUUUUUAUAAUGUUAAAUCAUAUUUAAUUGAACAUCUCCAUUUUUACUCCUAACUUUGGGGGCAAUGACUGGAUAAGAACACCAAGGUCAGAAAAGUGUGGUUUUAGACUGUCAAUUCUACUCAAAGUUGGAUGGGCUAAUGAGGAGGUUAAUUUCCAGGUUAACUAAGAGGAAGGCCAAGGGAUAAGCUGUAAAUGGUGUUUGAAAACAGUUUGGACAGGACAUUCAGAAGGUUUGCACCACGACAACUACAUUGAACAUGGUGGUUAUGGUGAAUAUAGUGUGCCUAACAUUCUAUUUAGGAGCAAGCAAAUGAGAUUGGUCUUCCUAGCACUGCACUUGUUUUAAAAAUAACUGUUACCUUACUUAUAUUGAAGAUAAUAAUUGUGAUUAAAUAUUGCACUAAUUGGUAAAAUACAUAAAAGUGCAUUGAUUAGCAGACUGCCAGUUUUAGCAGGAAGAAACCAAAACACUUCACUGACAUGAAAAAUGCCCUUUAGUUUGCUCGUUUGAAAACUACAAUAUAUAUGUCUAAAUACACCACCCUGUGCAAACAAAUCAUUAUCCUAUCAUAUGUAACCCUCAACACUCAAUCUACACAUACAGUCACACACAAGCAGUCUGUACAUAUUAUAGAGCAGGGGUGACCAACAGCUGUUGUGGGGCUACAGAAUAAAGUAUGUGUUCCAUACUUCCACAAUUCAUGUAGGUUAGACAAUUAGACCAAAUGCAAAAAGGCUGGCAAAAUAUCAAGGCAUUUAACAUCCUACAAUAACUGGAGAGAUACUUAUUGGGCACCCCUGGCAUGAUGGCAUAAAAUCCAACCUCUCAUCUCUAUAUACAUAAAACUUGCAACAACUGAAAAACACUUGCAAUUUUGCCUUCGUUUAACCACUCUCACUACAUUUCAAUAACUUUAUUAUUCCUUUAAAAUAAUCAGAAUCUAGUAUCCUAGUUAUAAAUUAAGGAACAGAAAACCGCAUCCAUCUAAUCUCAGUAAAUGACAAUUGAAUCUUGUUUUAUACAUAUAUAUUCACGCUAUUGCCUUUUCAGUGUUUUGGGCAUUUAUAAUUAUCAAUGCAGUAUAGAGAAAAUUAAUGUAUGGAUAGAUAAUCAUAUUGAUACUCAUUUACUCAGUAGAAAGUGAAUUUGGGGGCUGCAGAGAUGAAGACAUUUUUCAUCUGAGCUGUAUACCCAGCUUGGAUAUUUUUGUGAAUUUGAAUUUCAGUUUCCAAAAUCCACCAUUUUGUUAAUUAACCCAUUAGCAUAACACAUAUAAUAUUGAUGUGGUUUCCCUUUAUUUCUCCUAGAAAAACUUAAAUGCUUUAAAUUUUAACCUGGAAUGAUGAGUUAGCGGCUGACCAGACGAUGCAAAAUGCUUGCAUGAAAAUACAUGCUUUGGAAAAUAGCUUUCGUUGCUGCCAUAUAUAGUGAUAUUAAUCAUAUACUGUAUGUCCUUCAUUAACCCUUUUGAAUGCUGGAGAAGCAAGAAAUAUAAAUAACGGUACUUUCAGUCACAGGAUCAUGUAACAAUAAUUUUAUAUUGGGAUGUAGUGUACCCACAUUAGUACACUUGGCAUUCACUCAUUUAACAAUUUAUUAGACUGUGCAUACAGUGUUACUGUGGUUAGAUACUGAAUGUCCAUUGUGUUGAUACCCAUACCUCUGCUCUUGGUUUAACAGCUGGGCUAAGGAGAAAUAAUUCAAUGUCAGAAAGGGAAGUUACUAUUUCCUGACCUUUUUUAAAGGGUGUCCUUACCUACUUCAAGGCCAGAAACAACCUAAUUUCUGCUUGGUACUGAACCUUUUACCGAGGCCAUUGGAGGUGAUUUUUAGGUGUAGAAAAUAAAAAAAGAUUCCAGGUUUGAUAAUAUCUCAAACAAGGUAACUGAUCAGUGCCCUAGAGCACUGUCACAUACUUAUGAACAUCUGCCAUCACUUUGUGUACCAAAAAUAACCUUUCCAGUUCAGUCAAAGCCAAACCAUGCCAUACACAUCCCUUUCAACUUGCUGAACUCUUUGUACCUCCAUAAACAUAUGUAAUGUAAACAUUACUCCCAUUUGAUUUCAAUAAUAAAAAACAAUUUGUCGAUUGACAUUUUUGUCUUAUUCGUUAACAAAAGUGCAAGUCAAUCCUUGACUUUUUGUUUGUGCAAAACUUCAAGUAAUUUAAUGUCAUUUAGCUUACAAAUCUCUGCGAUGUCUGUCAAUGCACUUUCUGUAUCCUUCUAUUCAAGUUUACAGUUAAGAAGUUAAUGAAAUGAAAUGUGUGACUAACAUUUCUAGAAGCUGGACUAGCAUCAUCAGUUUUGUUACCUCCAGCAGUCAAAUAGUUAAAUAAUAUUUCAACCAAAGCGGCAGAGGUGCAAUUCUAUUUCUGAUAGUUAGGAUCUGUACAUUCCAAAUGCAUAUAUGAGCUUGAUUUUUUUCAUUUUUGCUUUUUUUUUUUUUUUAAUAAUACUUACAAGUUUGGUUCAGUUUUGUUUUGUUGGCCACUAAAUUUAUGUAUUGUAUCCCACUUACUUCUUUACAAUUGUUUUCCAACAGUAAAAAUCCCACGUAACACACAGGUCACUUGACAACGAACCUUCACUUAAAAUUAAUGGAAAAAAAGAAUCAAAGUUGUUCAGUUGGACUUUUUAUACAAAUAGACUGAUUUAUAACAUAAUUUUUAAUGUUUUGCUUAUUUUCAGUUUUUUUGUUUGUUUUUUAUUGAGAGUCACGUAACAAUGUAACAAGCAAUAAUGGAUUAGUGUAUUUAAAUAAUAUAAGGUACACUAAAUCUCUAAAACUAGCAUAAAAACAAUCUCCCCAAUUGCAUUUCCUGUGAACUUCAAUAACUAGUGUUAUGUAUGUGUAUGUGUAUACUUGAUUUGAGUUUCUCUUAGGGACACUCAGCCAGUUAAACACUGAGUAAUCUGCAUGCCUAUCUUACUAUGAAGAAUGAGGCAGCUGGCUAGGGAGUCAAUGUGCAGGGGCCAACCUGGUAAUGUUCACAGUGAAAAUGCCAUGAGACAACCCAGAUAAUGACUGUCUAGAUUUUCCUUUAUUGAAUAUAAUGGAUCAAUAAAAGCAGUUUUAUGUAAUAAUGUGUCUAUUUGUUAAUGAAUAGAAAGGUCUCACACAGUCUGGUUGGGUAUGAUUUGAUGAAUACUAAAUAUUUGUUGGUUCUGCUAUCAAUAUCAAGCAAGUGCUAUACUUGACCUUUUUAUAUUAACAUUGAGCUAUUGUGUAAUUUGUCUUGUUCUUCAAGGAAAAUAUUUUCAUUUUCAUUUCUAUUGCCACUAGCAUGCAAGAUACAUAUUUUCAUUAUGAAUUUUUGAAAACAUGUUUUAUUUUUUCAUGGUAUUUAAUAUUUGUGCUCUUCCAAAUUCUGUUAUAUUUUCAUUUUCAUGGCACUUCAACCAGUCUACUUUCCAAUUGACAAACCUUUUAAAAGUUCCUUUUUUACAGAAAUAUUCCAUGAAAUCUUCUGUGAGUACUCCACUGGGAACUGUGGGGACUGGCUACAUGCAAGUUCUGUACAAUUGUUAUAGUCUAUCAGUAGCAGAACAUCAAACUAUAACCAAGGAAGAUUUCCUUCUAAUCACACAUUGAUAUAUAUGUAUAUAUAUAUAUAUAUAUAUAUAUAUAUAUCUAUAUCUCACACACACACACACACACACGCAUGCACAUCUUAUGUAUUGUGGCCUUGGAGCUUCCAAUAUAUUACUGAUUAAACAUGUCUCACAAUGUUAAUUAAAUAUUUUAGACCUGGCUCACAAUGACAUCCUUUCCAGUUGCCAGUAUUCCUCUCUCUUGUGUUACUUUUAUGUAAAUACUUUGCCCAACUGCCCAAAGGAAACUCACAUUGUGAAAAAAAUGAAAAUAAAAUAAAAAUUACAGUACUUCCAAGAUUAAUUAUACAUAAUAAAACCUUAAAAAAGUAUGUUUUGAUUUCUAAAAAUGUACAAAAACAAAUUUGAGGCUCUUAAUUAUUAUCUUUGUUAAUAAUGGACAUGUAUUACUGUGACUCAGAAUAAGAAGAUGGUAUUCACAGAAUACAAUUACCUUUUCACCUCUGUUUUCCUCUUAACCAAUCAGUGCUGCAACAUAUUGUUUAGCAGAAGGAGAGUUAAACUCUCAAGAAAUUCUAAUGCCUUAUACUCAAUGGAUGCAUAUCCACAUUUAGUCUAAUAUUCAUAUUUACAAUUUUAUCAAAAAUAUUAUAUUUACAGUUUUUUUAACUGUGAAAGUUCACGUUGUCUUUUUUCAUGUACAAAAAUACCUAUUUUAUGCUCUUUUUUUUUCUCCUUUUCCUAAUCUGCUUGGUUCCCAGGGAAGCACUUCAGCAAAGUAAUAUUAAACUGUUUUUACAAUACCAACUUUGUUUCUAUAGCAUUGUUAUUCUUUUUAUGUAACCCAAUGGCACCUUAAGAUUGAUUUGACUAAAUAAUUGAUAUAAGGAAUUAAGGUAAAAAAGUAGUUUAGUAAACACAGAUGAUGCAAUUCUUCCUUAGGACUGCUAAAAUGACAAAUAAUUGCACUAAUAUAUUCUCAGUUCAUUGUGUUCUACCAAUGCUAGGUUAACAUUUCAGCCCCCUAAUUAUUAUUAUUAGUAUUUUUUUUAAUUUUUAUUCUUUUAA